rnacentral:rRNA from 1 species
UACGUAGGGGGCUAGCGUUGUCCGGAUUUAUUGGGCGUAAAGAGCGCGUAGGCGGCCAGGUAAGUCCGACGUGAAAUCUGGAGGCUCAACCUCCAGCGGUCGUUGGAAACUACUUGGCUAGAGUCCGGAAGAGGAGAGUGGAAUUCCUGGUGUAGCGGUGAAAUGCGCAGAUAUCAGGAAGAACACCGAUGGCGAAAGCAGCUCUCUGGGACGGUACUGACGCUGAGGCGCGAAAGCGUGGGGAGCGAACAGGAUUAGAAACCCCCGUAGUCC